AGUGAACGCUGGCGGUAGGCCUAACACAUGCAAGUCGGACGGCAGCACAGUAAGAGCUUGCUCUUACGGGUGGCGAGUGGCGGACGGGUGAGGAAUACAUCGGACUCUACUUUUUCGUGGGGGAUAACGUAGGGAAACUUACGCUAAUACCGCAUACGACCUACGGGUGAAAGCAGGGGAUCUUCGGACCUUGCGCGAUUGAAUGAGCCGAUGUCGGAUUAGCUAGUUGGCGGGGUAAAGGCCCACCAAGGCGACGAUCCGUAGCUGGUCUGAGAGGAUGAUCAGCCACACUGGAACUGAGACACGGUCCAGACUCCUACGGGAGGCAGCAGUGGGGAAUAUUGGACAAUGGGCGCAAGCCUGAUCCAGCCAUACCGCGUGGGUGAAGAAGGCCUUCGGGUUGUAAAGCCCUUUUGUUGGGAAAGAAAAGCAGCAGGUUAAUACCCCGAUGUUCUGACGGUACCCAAAGAAUAAGCACCGGCUAACUUCGUG
rnacentral:rRNA from 1 species